ensembl:snRNA U2 U2 spliceosomal RNA
AUCGCUUCUCGGCCUUUUGGCUAAGAUCAAGUGUAGUAUCUGUUCUUAUCAGUAAUACUGCUCAUGGCCCUCACAAUCUCUACCAUUAAUGUGAGAAGUGUGAGGUCCACCCUGAGAGCACAGAGUGUAUUAUCCCUUUUAGAAUCUUUUAAGUCAGAUGUGAUUUUAUUACAAGAGUGUGCUUUGCCCUUUUUAUCCAGUUACAGGAAAUGGGAAGACAU